rnacentral:rRNA from 1 species
GAUGAACGCUGGCGGCGUGCCUAAUACAUGCAAGUCGAGCGAAUGGAUUAAGAGCUUGCUCUUAUGAAGUUAGCGGCGGACGGGUGAGUAACACGUGGGUAACCUGCCCAUAAGACUGGGAUAACUCCGGGAAACCGGGGCUAAUACCGGAUAACAUUUUGAACCGCAUGGUUCGAAAUUGAAAGGCGGCUUCGGCUGUCACUUAUGGAUGGACCCGCGUCGCAUUAGCUAGUUGGUGAGGUAACGGCUCACCAAGGCAACGAUGCGUAGCCGACCUGGGAGGGUGAUGGGCCACACUGGGACUGAGGCACGGCCCAGACUCCUACGGGAGGCAGCAGUAGGGAAUCUUCCGCAAUGGACGAAAGUCUGACGGAGCAACGCCGCGUGAGUGAUGAAGGCUUUCGGGUCGUAAAACUCUGUUGUUAGGGAAGAACAAGUGCUAGUUGAAUGAGCUGGCACCUUGACGGUACCUAACCAGAAAGCCACGGCUAACUACGUGCCAGCCGCCGCGGUAA